AAGAUAUAUAAAACAUAUACAAACAUCUUCUUCCAACUUACAACAUUCCAUGUCCCUCCUCUCUCUCUACUAAAGACUUCAUAUACCAUUAAACUCUAUCAUGAAAUUAAACCCCUAAUCUAAUCUUAGGAUUAAAAAAGGUAAAUAAGUAAAACAAAGCUAAGGUAAGGAUCAAAGGGAAAAUUAAUCUCCUUUGUAUAUUAUGGCAUUAAUUAAAAGACUAAGGAAGUCACUUAGACUAUGAUGAAUGCAGCAGAGCCACACUUCUCACAUCACACUGCAGCUGUUGGUGUUUUCAUCACUGAAGAAGGUGCUGUAGUUAUCACUUGGAGGUGGUGGAUGGCCGUAGUAAUACGGGUUGUAUGGUGCUGGAGGUGGCAUGUAAUUGACAGCAGGUGGUGGUCGAGCGUACAUCAUUGGUUGAAACCUUUCGUUCCCAUUGGCACGCUGCUGUUGUUGCUGCAUCAUCAUAGCUGCCAUUUGUUGCUGCUGGUAGUAAGGAUUGCCAGCCAUGACUUCAGGACCAGCACCUUGGAAGUAGCCACCUGCAUUACCACCACUACCACCUCCACCGCCCCCCAUUGCCGCCCCUGCUGGUAGGCCUUGGACUGCUGAAACAUGGCUCAUUUGCCCCACUGGAUUACCCAUUUGACCCAUUGGAAGACCACCCAUUUGGCCCACUGGAAGACCACCCAUUUGACCCAUCUGCCCCAUUGGAUUAGGCAUGUUUCCCAACUGGCCCAUGUUUACACCUCCACUCAUAGCCAUCAUCCUGUUUGGCAUGCCUUGAGGCAUCCCAUCAUUUCCUCCACCUCCUUUUUUGGCCCCAUUGCCAUUCAUGUUAGGAAUAUUGCCAGCACCACCGCCGCCGCCACCAUUCUUGUUCUGUCCACCACCACUCGGCUGCCCUCCACCAUUCUUGCCACCCUUUUGAGCAGGUGGUCCUCCACCUUGAUUUGGGUUUCCCCCAUUUCCACCGCCUUUCUUACCACCGUUAUUACCGCCCAUGUUAAUCUGAACAGGGACAUUACCACCACCUUUUUUCCCGUUACCACCACCGCCAUUAUUGCCACCAUUGUUUCCGCCAUUACCACCCUUCAUAAGCUGAGGGUGCUGCCCAUUCAUCAUCAUCAUAUUAGGCAUCUGACCUCCUCCACCAUUACCACCCAUCAUCUGCUUCAUCUGAGCUCCAGGAUUACCACCCAUCAUUGGUGGCUUCAUCUGAGCUCCUCCUCCUCCUCCAUUACCACCCAUCAUUGGCAGCUUCAUCUGAGCAGCACCACCUGCACCCGGGCCCAUCAUCCCCUUCAUUUUCACCGGGAUAUCAUCCAGUUCAUCAUCCAACUCAUCCUCAUCAAAAUCAUCAUCCUCGUCAUCAGUCAAAUCAUCCUCAUCAAAAUCAUCAUCAGUUAAAUCAUCCACCUCAGGCAUGGUAAACUUAACAGCCUUUGGAUUCUGGUCUUUCCCCAUUGGGGGAAGUUUCAAGUCCUUGAAUUGUGGGGGCAGCUUCAGAUCUUGUAAAUUCUUCAACUGUUGAAGUUGCUGCUGAUUUGGCAUUUGAGCUCCUCCUCCUCCACCUCCUCCACCUUUUGGC
rnacentral:misc_RNA from 1 species